rnacentral:rRNA from 1 species
AACGAACGCUGGCGGCAGGCCUAACACAUGCAAGUCGAACGCCGUAGCAAUACGGAGUGGCAGACGGGUGAGUAACACGUGGGAACGUACCCUUCGGUUCGGGAUAACUCAGGGAAACUUGAGCUAAUACCGGAUACGUCCGAGAGGAGAAAGAUUUAUCGCCGAGGGAUCGGCCCGCGUCUGAUUAGCUUGUUGGUGAGGUAACGGCUCACCAAGGCGACGAUCAGUAGCUGGUCNGAGAGGAUGAUCAGCCACAUUGGGACUGAGACACGGCCCAAACUACCUACGGGAGGGCAGCAGUGGGGAAGUAUUGGACAAUGGGCGCAAGCCUGAUCCAGCCAUGCCGCGUGAGUGAUGAAGGCCCUAGGGUUGU